UUCUUACCCAACUUUUACUAUCGACAAAAUUCUCUAAAUGCCUCUAUACAUACUCAUAAGAACUCAUUUGUCCCAAGACUAAAUCCGAUGCAAUAAUAAAUUUAAAUUCGAGAGCCUUUUGUUUAAGGAAAUUCUAUUACAAGCCAUUUAAUAAUAGAUUAGUCGGGCGGUGUCCGACUAAGGAGUGUAGAAUGCAGGGCCACACUUGCAUUUCCAUCCUUCAGGCUCAUAAUUAGUGUACUGAACUCCCACUCGACCUGUGUUGGUGGGUACUUGUAUGGCUUCACAAGGCAUACAUCCAUAGCAUUUGUGGUCACAGCUUGGAGGACUAGAUCCUAUCGAUUUCAUCUCUUCGUUACUCACAUUACUAUUUUCUUCUACUAUCUUCAUUUGUCUUUCUCCUUCUAUGCUCAUAUUUCCCUGAAAAAAAUGAACUUGUUUAGUACUCCAUUCGAAUGCGAAGAAAUCAAAAGGCAAAAGAUUUCGAGAAUUACCUUAUUUGUACUGAAUUUGUUGUGUAUAGAUUGUUGAUUUGAUGUCAAUGGCCUGCAAUUAACACAUGAUAAGGAGAGUGCAAUUAUGAUUAGGACGAAAUAGCUGAAGUUACACUUCAUUUUAUAAUGGCACACCAAGUGUUUGUAUAAAUGAGGCAAUGAGAGUGUGAAAGAGAAAGAGACAAAAAUAACAGGGGAUUUAGAAUAAUUGGAGGUUGAUCAUUUGGUUCACUUCAAAGGGUGUCCAUAUCAUGAUAGCAGCUUUAUAAAGGUAACAAAGGAAAAAGAGGAAGUCCCAAAAAGCAAUCCCUCCAAAGCUCCUUGGAUUUCUCUAAGCCUCUCUCACUCUAAAUUGCAGGUUAAUUAACAGGGAAAAUUUGUGGAUGCCUAGACUGCAGAGCCACCUAUUCCCCCUUUUGGUCAUAUUCUGGAACUGGACAAGAAGGAAAAUCUUUCUUUAAAUUCUUUUUAGUUUUUAAAUCAAGAAAUAAGUACGCAGAAUCAAUGUCUGAUAGAUUCAGUACCAAAAAAAAAUUGAAAUUUAUGUUAGUGAACAAAACUUACAUAUAUUAUAUAUAGUACAUGAUAAAAUGUAUGAGUAGUUAACUACUUUCAUGGAUAGGGAAGCGUUAGGGGCACGGCCAAGUAGGACAAAAAUUAAACCAUUUUGAUCUUUUUCGUGUGUUUACUUUUCAUAUAUAAUUUGAACUUCGUUAUAGAAACUCUGGCUCCGCUUCUGCUUGGGAGCACUGUGACCAAAAAAGUUUUUCUUAUUAUCCAAAAAGAAGAGCUUGAUUUUCUAUUGGACACUGCAAGGGUUUCUGAAUUUGUCCAUCCAAAGAAAUGAAGCCUUUCAUUGACUUUUAGCAUUAGGCUAAAGUUGAACUAAGUGAAGUAAGUGCAGCUGAUUACAGCAUCACCAUUGAAUAAUGAGUUGCAAUAAAUAGGGAAGAAAGAAUGAGGAGCCAAUAAUUAAACAAACUUUUUUAUUUUGGUUCUUUUAACAUUUGAGGUAAGAACUGUGAAACCAAACCUGGGAAGCAAGCACAUAUAAAAGGAAAGCUGAUAAGUACCAUUCAAUGCACUGUUUUCAUUUUUUCUUUUGCUUUAGUACUAGCUGAUGAGUGGCAGUGAAGUAGCAUGUGCAGACUAAGUCACGUGUUAGCAAUAUGGUUUGGGAAUCAAGAAAAUACUUUUCAUUAAGUUUUUGAUAAAUUA